CGUGGCCGAGUUGGUCUAAGGCGUUGGAUUUAAGCCCCAAUCUCUCCGGAGGCGUGGGUUCGAACCCCACCGGAUG
rnacentral:tRNA from 1 species